rnacentral:lncRNA from 13 species
UUCUAAACCAAAUCUGAGUCCAUCACUUCCCUUUCUGCCCACUGCACUGAUAACCGAAACCCAAGAGCCACAGGAUAUCACUUUUCUGAGCCUUAUUUGGAGGAGUAAAUAACAUAUGCGUGUUUCUUUUAUGUCCAGUUUUGGAAGGCUCUCGAAGAUUGUUUGAGAACUUGACUGCUGUGUCAGAGCAGUGCUGACAUUCUCUAUCGCCAACUGUUGUUCAUUAUUCUAAAAAAUCAAACAAGCAAAAACCACCCCUCCAAACAACUCCAAGACAAACUCCAAGCAAAACAAAACACACAAACAAACUCAUAAUGUUUCUUUGGUGGCUUCUGAGAAGGAGUUUUAAUGUGACCACGUUACUCAGAAGAGCUUUGAAUCAGCAACAUUUCCAGUGGUCUGUAGGGAAAGCCUGUGGUUUCAGUGGAAAGUAGAGAGUAGCAGACCCACGGCCUUCGUCUGAGCUGUGGUUCUGUGUCAGUACUAACAAGGAACCAACUUUUAGGAGCCACUACAUUAAACAGUCAUAUUUCCUCAGGCAGCUAAAGAUACCUGCUCUUCUGAAAGAUGGCACGAAGAAUCACGGUGAGGGCUUCCUCCCCAGCUCACCCAUGGGAACUUCCUGGUCUUGGCAAACUCAGCUCGCACCUGGGACAGCAGCUUCCAGGAGGCAGCCUGGAAUAGACAGGUGGUUCUGUUUACCGGUAAACCUCAGCAGCAAUGGCAUGCUCCUCUAUCAGCACUGGCUCCCAUCUCUGUGCCAGAGACUGCAGGCUUCCUAUUAGCCACCAUGCCCUCCUUCCUUAGUGAGAGAACCCUGAUUUUAGCCUGGACCAUUGCCACCUUGAAUAAAUGCGUUUUCCUAGCCUG